GAAAUCAAGGAUCCCUCAAACACUAGAAGUCACAAAAACCCUUUCUUUACGGUUCACCUCUUUUUUCUGAGGCUCUUCUGCGACAUGAUACUUUAUCCUCUUUAAUAAUGCACCUUUCUGUUAUGUUCUGCUACAGAGCGCGGUGACCAAUGGCUCGGACGGAGACCUCCCCCCAGGAUUCAUCUACAAGGUGAAAGCGGUGCAUGAAUAUGCUGCCACUGACGGCGAUGAGCUGGAGCUGAAGGUGGGAGACUCUGUGCUGGUUCUGGCCUUUGAAAACCCGGACGAACAGGACGACGGCUGGCUCCUGGGUGUGCAGGAGACUCACUGGUUGCAGAAGAAA